rnacentral:rRNA from 1 species
CCUACGGGAGGCAGCAGUAGGGAAUAUUGCUCAAUGGGGGAAACCCUGAAGCAGCAACGCCGCGUGGAGGAUGAAGGUUUUAGGAUUGUAAACCCCUUUUGUUAGAGAAGAUUAUGACGGUAUCUAACGAAUAAGCACCGGCUAACUCCGUGCCAGCAGCCGUGGUAAUAUGGAGGGUGCAAGCGUUACUCGGAAUCACUGGGCGUAAAGAGGGGGUAGGCGGGGUAAUAAGUCAGAUGUGAAAUCCUGUAGCUUAACUACAGAACUGCAUUUGAAACUGUUACUCUGGAGUGUGGGAGAGGUAGGUGGAAUUCGUGGUGUAGGGGUAAAAUGCGUAGAGAUCACGAGGAAUACUCAUUGCGAAGGCGACCUGCUGGAGCAUUACUGACGCUGAUGCACGAAAGCGUGGGGAGCGAACAGGAUUAGAUACCCGAGUAGUC